UACGGGGGGGGCAAGCGUUGUUCGGAAUUACUGGGCGUAAAGGGCUCGUAGGCGGCCAACUAAGUCAGACGUGAAAUCCCUCGGCUUAACCGGGGAACUGCGUCUGAUACUGGAUGGCUUGAGUGUGGGAGAGGGAUGCGGAAUUCCAGGUGUAGCGGUGAAAUGCGUAGAUAUCUGGAGGAACACCGGUGGCGAAGGCGGCAUCCUGGACCAAUACUGACGCUGAGGAGCGAAAGCCAGGGGAGCAAACGGG
rnacentral:rRNA from 1 species